CCUACGGGUGGCAGCAGUCGAGAAUCAUUCACAAUGGGGGAAACCCUGAUGGUGCGACGCCGCGUGGGGGAAUGAAGGUCUUCGGAUUGUAAACCCCUGUCAUGUGGGAGCAAAUUAAAAAGAUAGUACCACAAGAGGAAGAGACGGCUAACCCUGUGCCAGCAGCCGCGGUAAUACAGAGGUCUCAAGCGGUGUUCGGAAUCACUGGGCGUAAAGCGUGCGGAGGCUGUUUCGUAAGUCGGGUGUGAAAGGCGCGGGCUCAACCCGCGGACGGCACAUGAUACUGCGAGACUAGAGUAAGGGAGGGGGAAGCGGAAUUCUCGGUGUAGCAGUGAAAUGCGUAGAUAUCGAGAGGAACACUCGUGGCGAAGGCGGGUUCCUGGACAUUAACUGACGCUGAGGCACGAAGGCCAGGGGAGCGAAAGGGAUUAGAUACCCCAGUAGUC
rnacentral:rRNA from 1 species